UCCGGGUCCCGGAGGGCGCCAGGCCGCCAAAUCGGUCAGGACCCCGAAGGUAGCAGCCGCACGUGGAUUCUGACGUCGCUUCGUCAGGCCCGGAGCA
rnacentral:SRP_RNA from 1 species